UACGGAGGGGGCUAGCGUUAUUCGGAAUUACUGGGCGUAAAGCGCACGUAGGCGGCUUUGUAAGUCAGAGGUGAAAGCCUGGAGCUCAACUCCAGAACUGCCUUUGAGACUGCAUCGCUUGAAUCCAUGAGAGGUGAGUGGAAUUCCGAGUGUAGAGGUGAAAUUCGUAGAUAUUCGCAAGAACACCAGUGGCGAAGGCGGCUCACUGGCCCGGAACUGACGCUGAGGUGCGAAAGCGUGGGGAGCAAACAGG
rnacentral:rRNA from 1 species